GACGAACGCUGGCGGCGUGCUUAACACAUGCAAGUCGAACGGAAAGGCCCUGCUUUUGUGGGGUGCUCGAGUGGCGAACGGGUGAGUAACACGUGAGUAACCUGCCCUUGACUUUGGGAUAACUUCAGGAAACUGGGGCUAAUACCGGAUAGGAGCUCCUGCUGCAGGGUGGGGGUUGGAAAGUUUCGGCGGUUGGGGAUGGACUCGCGGCUUAUCAGCUUGUUGGUUGGGUAGUGGCUUACCAAGGCUUUGACGGGUAGCCGGCCUGAGAGGGUGACCGGCCACCUUGGGACUGAGAGACGGACCAGCGUCCUACGGGAGGCAGCAGUGGGGAAUAUUGCACAAUGGGACGAAGCCUGAUGCAGCAACGCCGCGUGCGGGAUGACGGCCUUCGGGUUGUAAACCGCUUUCGCCUGUGACGCAGCGUGAGUGACGGUACUGGGUAAAGAAGCACCGGCUAACUACGUG
rnacentral:rRNA from 1 species